UGGUCCUGGGCUCCAGAGGGGGAGGAGUUGGAGGAGUGUGAAUGAGAGAUUACAAACCGAGAUGACAUGGGGGAGACAGCAGAGGCAGAAGAGAGAGCCGAGAGCCGGCUUCAAGGGGCGGUGUCGUCUAGACAUGGGGGUAUUGCGUAGUGACCAAGGGUGUGCGUGGACUUUGUAGUCAAACUGUUUCUGGGCUUGCGCUGUGGACUCUGUCCCUCGCUAGCUCUGUGACAUUUGGGAAAGUUACUUAUUAAAUCCCACCCCUGUGGGGGCUACUGAGAUGAUGUGAAUAUACUUGGCCUAAAUCUUCCUGUCAGAGUCAAGUGGCUGCAGCUGUCUGGGUUAGGCCAUCACCCCCCAUUGGAAAUGACUUAAAGACCUACAGAUAUGCCUCAGAGACACUCAAGCAGGUCUCAGAAGUCAAGGCCACCGGCUGUGCUGCGGUCUCCGGAAAGAGGAACAGACUGAGGAGUUCACCCGUGGCGUGGAAUCAGAAGGAAACAGCAUCUACUCUGGGCUCCUAGCCUAUCAAGGCAUUCCCGCUCGCUGGGUGGGGUCUUGCCCCACCCCCUGGAUUGCAUGGUGAGCCAGGUCACACAGAGCUUUAGAUACCCCCUAGGUUUGGCUGAACAUGGCUGUUGAUAACCAGCUGAUCAAUAGACUGAGCCAGUGUGUCAGCUGCUUAGACCCCCUUGGUCUUUCUGUCUCCCUUCAUUCUCCAUACCCCCUUCCAUAUACUCAUCAAAUACUUAAGAACAAAUAGCUUCCUAUGGAUAAAAGGAAUACCUCAUGAACUAUGCUGGUGAAUAGGGGGGAAAAGCAAGCCAAACUCAGAGUCUUCUAUUGUACUCUUAUAACACAGUUCAAUUCUGUAAUCCUAAAUGUGUGGGGUGUUUCUCCCAACCUGCACACAAGCAGGAGUGCCUGCUGGACACCAAAUCCAUUCUUAUCUGCAAGGAGACAGCAUCAGACCCUACAGGCUGAGGGCUCAGCCCCAUAAGACUGUCCCCAACUUCAGGCCAGCGGCAAAGAAGGUAGCCGGCUACAAAUUGGGAUUUCUGAGGCUGAUUCCAGAGAUUUGUAACUGCCUAGGCGUCAUCUGGCACACUGCUGCCCCCCUGUGCAGAAGUCUGGGCUAGCAUCCUCGAGGAUGAGAGGCUGAAUGAGAGGAAGUGGCCAAGGGCCAUCUGGGUUAGCUCUGCUUAGAUGACCCCAGGGGAGGCGGCUGAUCUGCCUUGCAGAAUGCAGUUCAACUCACUGACCCGGUGCAUCAGGAGCCAGUGAAGUGGUUACGGCUGCAUGUCAUUAAAUUGGGGGUGGCUUCGGUUAACUGAGACCACAGGUGUGGGAGUUUCCAUGGCCAUUCAGUGUCAUUUUGUUUUAGGUAUACUCUAACAGGACCCGAGACCUUAGCACAAGUGACACCAUGUUGGAGGCACCAUUCUGAUCUUAGAACCCAGCAUGUAGGUCCCAAAAUGGGAACAAAGACCCGAUCCAUCAAAGACCUAGUCCAUAGUUCCGGGAUCUGGGAAAGUCCCUCGAGGUACGAACCUUGCUUUUUGGCUUCUGUAGUUCUAUUUCUCACUAACUGUUCUUGCUAACUGAAGUGUUAACCUGGAUGUAGUAUGUGUCCGUGCAGAAAAGGCAAAGCACGCUGGGCGGUGGUGGCGCACUUGGGAGGCAGAAGCAGGCGGAUCUCUGUGAGUUCGAGGCCAGGCCAGCCUGGUCUACAGAGAGAGAUCCAGGAAAGGCGCAAGGCUACACAGAGAAAACCUGUCUCGGAAAAAAACAAACAAACAAACAAACAAAACAAAAACAAACAAACAAAAAAAAGAAAAGGCAAAGCACAGUGGGGGUUGGGCCACAUGAUUUGGGCAGGUCCCCCAUGCAGUCACUGGCUGGCAAUGAGGACUUUGCAUUUUAAGAGAGUCUGUGCAUUUUCAGGGGUAAUCACCUUGCAUCGAUGACUCUCAUGAAUGACACAUAGCAAAUCUGGUCUGACAAGCUUGAUCUUUAGGAGCUGGGUCCAUGCCUUCCAUAUUUAAUUAUUGAUAUAAUUGUGUUGCCAAAAGGAAGAAUUCUUUAGGCCUGCUAUAGCAAACAGAGUUUAUUUGGACAAGGAAAACAAAACAAAACAAUUCCUAAAUGAAGCAGCUCCAAGAACAGAGAAGGUUCUGAGAAUGGCAACCAGCAUUUAAAUCUAAGGUGUUUGCAAAGCAAGGGAACUUACAUACACACACACACACACACAA